rnacentral:rRNA from 1 species
UACGUAGGGGCAAGCGUUAUCCGGAUUUACUGGGUGUAAAGGGAGCGUAGACGGCACAGCAAGUCUGAUGUGAAAACCCGCGGCUCAACUGCGGGAUUGCAUUGGAAACUGUUGAGCUUGAGUACUGGAGGGGCAGGCGGAAUUCCUGGUGUAGCGGUGGAAUGCGUAGAUAUCAGGAGGAACACCGGUGGCGAAGGCGGCCUGCUGGACAGUAACUGACGCUGAGGAGCGAAAGCGUGGGUAGCAAACAGGAUUAGAUA